UACGAAGGGGGCUAGCGUUGCUCGGAAUGACUGGGCGUAAAGGGCGCGUAGGCGGCUUUGUAAGUUAGAGGUGAAAGCCCGGGGCUCAACUCCGGAAUUGCCUUUAAGACUGCAUCGCUAGAAUUGUGGAGAGGUAAGUGGAAUUCCGAGUGUAGAGGUGAAAUUCGUAGAUAUUCGGAAGAACACCAGUGGCGAAGGCGACUUACUGGACACAUAUUGACGCUGAGGUGCGAAAGCGUGGGGAGCAAACAGG
rnacentral:rRNA from 1 species